rnacentral:lncRNA from 1 species
UUGCUUGUCCAAAGUCUCACGAGUUCAGAUGGUGUAUCUGGAUUGGCUAGUCUUAUCUGUCCUUUAUUGCAGCAUAACCCCUUCGAUUCAUACAUAAAUUUUUUUGCAUUACAGAAGCUGCAAUUUUGUACCAUUUUGAGCAUGUGUGUGAUCUUUGGUAUGUUGCUAUAGACGAAAUCAUACGGAUCAAGGUUGUAAAAUUCCUGGUCUUCUCAAGUUUUGAUUUCCACUUCUCUAUCCCAUUCUGGUUUGAUUUAUCGCAUCAAGAAAUUAGUAGUGGAGUAAUAUAAUGAUGCAAAUAUGGUUAGAUUGUAUUGAGCAUACCUUCGCCGGAGAACAUGUAUUCUUCCUCGUCUGUGUCUUCUUCAAAUAUGACUUCAUCAUUACCUGUGUAGUAAACUUUUAUUAUAUAUAUUUUUCUCUGACUUGCAUGAGAAUAUAUAUGAAAUUGGUAACCUUACCAUGAUCUUGAUGGUAGAUUGAUUGUGUUGGUGCAUCUACUUCUUUGAUGGUUGCUUCUUGCUCACAUAUGACUUCAUCAUUACAUGUGUAGUAAGUUCUGACUAUUAUAUAUAUAAUUUUAGUAUUGCAUAAAAGUAUAUAUGAAAUUUAUGAACCUACCGUGAUCCUCAUUGUAGAAUGAUUGUAUUCGUGCAUCCACUUCUUUGAUUGUUGGAAACAAUGAAGAGGGGAUGUCUGGCCACAAAGCCACCUUACUAUUAUCAUCACUGUAGAGUGUUUGUGUUGGUGCAUCCACUUCUGUGGUGCAUGGAAACAUUGAAGAAGGGUUGUCUAUCCACAAAAGAUGGUUAGUUGUAUAGACAAAUGUAUAUUUAUUUGGAAUGCGGAUAUUAUAUAAAAUUAAGAGUAUUACCGUAAAUCAUGACUUCUGACUCCUCUAGAGGUCCUAUGUCAUCUUUGCUGGUUGCCGGCAUGGAUCCGUCUUCUUGUGAUGUUACAGAAACCAUUUUCAUCUGUCUUGUCGUGAAUUCUUCAUUACAAUAGUGUAGCGAUGUUUGCCUUUUUCCUGGCGUCACAUGCUUUCUGUGUUUUACAGGAAACGUAGAAGUACUAACUUCCUGUUCGGUUGCGAUAUAUGCAGGGUUCUUCAUCGCAAUUGAAUAUUUGGAGCGGUUCAACUCACGGUUAGCUCUAAUUUGUUCUAUUCUAGCUUUCUUCUGUUCUGGCCUCAUAGUUGCAUAUUGUGAUCUUUUUUUUUGUCUUUACAUCUGGCUUCUUCCUUGAAUCUUUAUUUGUUUUGCUUCGUUGAUAGGCUUCACGACGUUUUUUCCGUUUUUCUUGUUUUUCUUCAUCGUUCAUUCUUGCAUACCGCUCUCUAUCUCUUUUUCUUCUUUGUUCAGUGGCAUCCAUCGAUCCAAAUGACUUGUCUGCAUAGAGUUUGUAUAAUGUAAACAUUACACCCGGAAGGCUUUUCUCAUAUACAAAUUAACAUCUAUUGCUCUUCGGAUUUU